CACCCUGAUUGUUAUUCUAUUUUUUUUUGUUCUUUUAAAUAUUUAAAACUUGUGAUUUCAAGUUGUGAGUUUGGAAGUUUGCGUGACGUGGAAGUUUGCUAGAAUAUGAUUGGUAGAGGUGUGAGUUGUGAGUUGGCAGCUGAUGGUUGGCUGGAAAGAGAGAUCGAGAGAUGAAUCUAUAAAGAGAGAUCGAAGAUCAAUUGGGAAAAAUUAACCAGAGAAAUCAUUUUAGUUGUAUUUUUUCUUCUUCUUCUUAGUUUGUUCUGAGAUUAUGGUGUUGUACUCAUCUAGAUCGAGAUCUCUCUGUUAGAUCUUCGUCAUUUGAGAUAUCGACUCGCGUUUUAUGAACUUUAGUUCGAUUUGGUGUGAAUUUGCGAUUGGAAUCGAAGUGUUGUGGUUUUAUCUUUAUCACUUGCAUCAUUAACUCAGUAUUAACCUUGGUGAGGGCAUUCAAAUUUGCAUUUGGAGGAUUAAAAGCAGCAAUACAUGUACAUAGUGAAUUAAUCAUUAAGCUUAUAAAUGAACCUACAGAGUUCUUUGAUCAGACACCAAGUGGAAGAAUACUUAACAGGUUAUAGACAGGAAAACUCUUUGUACCAUGUGUCUUGUUCUUGAUCUUAACUUCGUUUCAGAUUUUCCCCUGACGUACAUAUACCAUCGAUGACUCUCUCCCGUUUAUCCGCAACAGUCUUCUAGCAAAUUUUGUUGGUUUGUUAUGGAUUACUGUAGUAUUGUCUUAUGUAAAGUAUUGUUAGGGAUUAUUGUACCAUGUGUCUCUCUUUUUAUUUUAUUUUAAUUAUUAUUCGUCUGUUUUGUUGGAGGAGUUACUUUAAUGUAUAAUAUGUAUACAUGUUCAAUUCAUGCUUCUACUUCUGCCGUUUUGGUAUAUAUACAGCAAGCUUCAGUUAUUCUACAGGUCAGCUUCAAGGCAACUACGAAGGUUGGACAGUGUUUCACGAUCACCAAUCUAUCCCUUCGAAGGUUGGACAGUGUUUCACGAUCACCAAUCUAUGCAUCAAAGACACGUGAUGGAGGGCUUUUAAGUCUGAGGUUUUGCUUCGCCACUAAUGACAAACCUGUAAACUACUUCCCGUUUUAUUCUGCAUGACAGGUACAUUAACACAACUUUCCUUUGGAGCUUAAGACCAUUUUCAUUCAGCAUUUGGCGAUUUGCAAUAAUAUUUAGUUUUGUGUGUUCUGCAAUAAAUGAAUAUGGAAGUUUCAAAAUUGGUGCAGUUGUUAGGAGCAAUGAUUGUCUUGUUUUUAUUUGUAAUGGCUGCUCUCGGGCUCUCGGGAGAACUUUCCAAUCACUGUUUUCUUCCAAGAAGUUAGUUCAGAAGGAAUUAACUCUUCCUUGCAACUUAAAACAGCUUUAGCCAUGAGUUUCCCAAGCCAAUCAUGAUAGAGUAGUCACCUUGAUCCGAGCCCUGAAAAUACCCAGAAUUUGCAAGACUCACUUGCUGCACCUAUGAGCUGAUUUACACAUCACAAGAGUUGUAGUGACCCAUGGCUUGUGACAGGUUGGCAUUGCUCUCAACCCAGCCCUUUCUCCCUUAAAUUCCCACUUCUAUAUGUCUGGAUAAACUGCACUUGCUUUCAGAAGAAGCUCGCCGAGAGCUCUUGAAGCUUCCUCUGCUGGGACAUCCGAUGAAUCAUUUCUUGAUUGCCAUUCCCAUGUGCAGAUUACGAGGUCCCUGUACCGCAAGCCAGACAUCUGACAAGAUCGAAGGUCCAUCUUCUAAGAUUAUGCAGCUAAUAGGCCUUACACCAGGUCCAACACCAAUGUUGGCUGAGAUCGAUAAACAUCGGUAUCCUAUUAGUACCAUCUCCUAAAGCUAAAAUAUGGAGGCGGUGUUUGGUGGAAUUGGGGAAGAUAUAGAGCCGAGCAUUUCAAAGAUUUCUUGUUUAAAGCAAUUUCUUAGCACAAGGAGUAAUCCAAGAACGUCUAAGAAACAAUGAUUUCCACCAACUUACCCAGAGUCUUAAUCUGGUCCCAGAAAUCCUUAUUCUCAUAUGUGUAUAUCUCGAUCUAAUCUCACAAGACCAAAAGAAUCAUGUAAAUGAUGACGCAGAUCUCUGAUUGAUAAUAAUGUAAGUCUCUAAGAGAGGCUUAUAAUGAAUA